UACGUAGGGGGCAAGCGUUGUCCGGAUUUAUUGGGCGUAAAGAGCGUGUAGGCGGCUUUACAGGUCCGUUGUGAAAACUCGAGGCUCAACCUCGAGACGCCGGUGGAAACCGUAAAGCUAGAGUCCGGAAGAGGAGAGUGGAAUUCCUGGUGUAGCGGUGAAAUGCGCAGAUAUCAGGAGGAACACCGGUGGCGAAGGCGGCAUCCUGGACCAAUAUUGACGCUGAGGAGCGAAAGCCAGGGGAGCAAACGGG
rnacentral:rRNA from 1 species